GAUGAACGCUAGCUACAGGCUUAACACAUGCAAGUCGAGGGGAAACGACAUCGAAAGCUUGCUUUUGAUGGGCGUCGACCGGCGCACGGGUGAGUAACGCGUAUCCAACCUGCCCAUCACUUGGGAAUAACCUUGCGAAAGUAAGACUAAUACCCAAUGAUAUCCCACGAAGGCAUCGGAAUGGGAUUAAAGAUUUAUCGGUGAUGGAUGGGGAUGCGUCUGAUUAGCUUGUUGGCGGGGUAACGGCCCACCAAGGCAACGAUCAGUAGGGGUUCUGAGAGGAAGGUCCCCCACAUUGGAACUGAGACACGGUCCAAACUCCUACGGGAGGCAGCAGUGAGGAAUAUUGGUCAAUGGGCGAGAGCCUGAACCAGCCAAGUAGCGUGCAGGAAGACGGCCCUAUGGGUUGUAAACUGCUUUUAUAAGGGAAUAAAGUGGGUCACGUGUGACUUUUUGCAUGUACCUUAUAAAUAAGGACCGGCUAAUUCCGUG
rnacentral:rRNA from 1 species